rnacentral:rRNA from 1 species
AGCGAACGCUGGCGGCAGGCUUAACACAUGCAAGUCGAGCGGGCAUCCUUGUGGUGUCAGCGGCAGACGGGUGAGUAACGCGUGGGAACGUGCCCUUCGGUUCGGAAUAACUCCGGGAAACUUGAGCUAAUACCGGAUACGUGCGAGAGCAGAAAGGUUUAUCUGCCGAAGGAUCGGCCCGCGUCUGAUUAGCUAGUUGGUGAGGUUACGGCUCACCAAGGCGACGAUCAGUAGCUGGUCUGAGAGGAUGAUCAGCCACACUGGGACUGAGACACGGCCCAGACUCCUACGGGAGGCAGCAGUGGGGAAUAUUGGACAAUGGGGGCAACCCUGAUCCAGCCAUGCCGCGUGAGUGAUGACGGCCUGAGGGUUGUAAAGCUCUUUUCUCCGGGACGAUAAUGACGGUACCGGAGGAAUAAGCCCCGGCUAACUUCGUG